AGGCGGCGCCUCCUGCUUUGGAUUGAGGCUGUUUGUGAGGAAGUUGAGGUCGAUCAGCUGCAGCUGAUUCUGGUUUGUUGUUGUUCCUGUUGUGGCUGUACAGUAACUACAGAUACAGGAUGCAGGACAGUGAAUCCAGUGUCUCAUGUGGCCCUGCAGCUUCUCCUCCUCCACCUCCUCCUGAAGCCUUCAUCUUCUUCAUCAUCAGCUGCUCAGUGACUCUGUUGGACGUCUCACCGUGUGGCAGCAGCUCAGGAGUUUGCAGUCAACCAAGGCCGACUCAGAAUCACUCCCACCGGGAAGAUCUGUGAAGGAAGGUCCACCCGGCUGGUCCAGAAGCUCCGGUCCAGCAGAGCAGCGUCAGGAUGGAGACGUAACCGGUGUUGAUGUUACCGCCUUGACGAAUAGAAGAAAAGCCUGUAUUUGGGUAUGAAGGGCCGGUAGUCCAGAGGUAGUGAUGCUGGUUUGGAACCUGGAGAGUGCAGGUUCGAUCCCCCACCCUGCUCAAGCUUUUUUUUCACAUUUGGGCAAAAUUUGCCAAAAAUCUUAUUGAAAGACAUUGGAAGGAAAGCUGCCUUGCUGCCUUGCUGCCUUGCUGCCUUGCUGCCUUGCUGCCUUGCUGCCUUGCUGCCUU
ensembl:lncRNA